AUGCUGAGGGCAGCUGCAAAGCUCUUGAAGCCUUUGUGCAGAGUGCCAAAGACAUGAGUGAGCCUGGAAAGUGACUGCAGAGUUCCCUGCUGAGAGCUUUUCCGAGCUGCCCAAGCAUUUGUGGACUCUGAGAGAGGAGCACACCUGGCACCUGGUGACCCCCGACGUGAUUUCUCGGGACGAGGAAGAGUCUGGCAGCGGAUGGCAGGAGGAAGCAGGGCUCUGGCCUGCUGGUGAAGGGAGCCAGGCCUACAUUAGAGCAGGAGGGAUCAAAGAGCAGGGCCUGGAGCAGAAACCUGCCUGCCGACAGCCCAGGGCUGGCAAACAAGGGGCUGGGAUCACUUUGUAAGGACCAGAGCGUCUCCGCUCCCCCAGCACCAGCACCUAGGAUCUCAGCACAGGCAUUGGAGAUCUGCCCCCUCUGUGUGGAAAGAAGUGAGGGUUUGAGGGCCACUCUGCAUUCUUUGCCUCAGCUGAAUGUUGGUUGUUGGGAGGUGUUAGAAGCUGUAUUGUCCCAGGCAGGAUGU